GCCAGCGUAGCUCAGCUGGCAGAGCAGCGGUUUUGUAAACCGCAGGUCACCGGUUCGAUCCCGGUCGCUGGCUCCA
rnacentral:tRNA from 1 species